AUUGAACGCUGGCGGCAUGCUUUACACAUGCAAGUCGAACGGCAGCGCGGGCUUCGGCCUGGCGGCGAGUGGCGAACGGGUGAGUAAUACAUCGGAACGUGCCCAGUAGUGGGGGAUAGCUCGGCGAAAGCCGGAUUAAUACCGCAUACGACCUGAGGGUGAAAGCGGGGGAUCUUCGGACCUCGCGCUAUUGGAGCGGCCGAUGGCAGAUUAGCUAGUUGGUGGGGUAAAGGCCUACCAAGGCGACGAUCUGUAGCUGGUCUGAGAGGACGACUAGCCACACUGGGACUGAGACACGGCCCAGACUCCUACGGGAGGCAGCAGUGGGGAAUUUUGGACAAUGGGCGAAAGCCUGAUCCAGCAAUGCCGCGUGUGUGAUGAAGGCCUUCGGGUUGUAAAGCACUUUUGGCGGGAACGAAAAGGACUGUGCCAAUACCACGGUUCGAUGACGGUACCCGCAGAAUAAGCACCGGCUAACUACGUG
rnacentral:rRNA from 1 species